UACGUAGGCAGCAAGCGUUGUUCGGAUUUACUGGGCGUAAAGGGCGCGUAGGCGGCAAUUCAAGUCAGUUGUGAAAUCUCCGAGCUUAACUCGGAACGGUCAACUGAUACUGUUUUGCUAGAGUACAGAAGGGGCAAUCGGAAUUCUUGGUGUAGCGGUGAAAUGCGUAGAUAUCAAGAGGAACACCUGAGGUGAAGACGGGGUUGCUGGGCUGAUACUGACGCUGAGGCGCGAAAGCUAGGGUAGCAAACGGG
rnacentral:rRNA from 1 species